rnacentral:lncRNA from 1 species
AUAGCUCUUGGAUUGGCUGAGAAGACAACCUUCUCAGUUCUGCACACAUAAACUGAAGAUUUAUCCAUCCUUCAUCAAAGGCUGAGUCAGAAGCUCAAAUCAAGCCCAAAGUCAUAACAACAAAUUCGAGCCAGAAGCUCAGGCCCAAGUUGCAAGGCCAGAAUAGCAGCUCACUACAUGUUACCAUGACAAAAGUAAGGUUCAAAUGA